UACGAAGGGGGCUAGCGUUGCUCGGAAUUACUGGGCGUAAAGGGCGCGUAGGCGGCCGAUCAAGUCAGGCGUGAAAUUCCUGGGCUUAACCUGGGGGCUGCGCUUGAGACUGAUUGGCUAGAGGAUGGAAGAGGCUCGUGGAAUUCCCAGUGUAGAGGUGAAAUUCGUAGAUAUUGGGAAGAACACCGGUGGCGAAGGCGGCGAGCUGGUCCAUUACUGACGCUGAGGCGCGACAGCGUGGGGAGCAAACAGG
rnacentral:rRNA from 1 species